GUGAGCGGCAGAGCUCAGAUUUGAAAUCGUGCUUUGCGGCACGAGUUGUAGAUUGCAGGUUGGAGUCUGUGUGGAAGGCGGUGUCCAAGUCCCUUGGAACAGGGCGCCCAGGAGGGUGAGAGCCCCGUGGGAUGCCGGCGGAAGCAGUGAGGCCCUUCUGACGAGUCGAGUUGUUUGGGAAUGCAGCUCCAAGCGGGUGGUAAAUUCCAUCUAAGGCUAAAUACUGGCGAGAGACCGAUAGCGAACAAGUACUGUGAAGGAAAGAUGAAAAGCACUUUGAAAAGAGAGUGAAACAGCACGUGAAAUUGUUGAAAGGGAAGGGUAUUGCGCCCGACAUGGGGAUUGCGCACCGCUGCCUCUCGUGGGCGGCGCUCUGGGCUUUCCCUGGGCCAGCAUCGGUUCUUGCUGCAGGAGAAGGGGUUCUGGAACGUGGCUCUUCGGAGUGUUAUAGCCAGGGCCAGAUGCUGCGUGCGGGGACCGAGGACUGCGGCCGUGUAGGUCACGGAUGCUGGCAGAACGGCGCAACACCGCCCGUCUUGACC
rnacentral:rRNA from 1 species